rnacentral:lncRNA from 10 species
UUCUUUAUAUGUCUGGUAGAAUUUGGCUGUGAAUCCAUCUGGUCCAGGGCCUUUUCUGGUUGCAAAAAGAAGAAAGUACUCCUUGAAUAGGAAUUCAGGGACAAUGUUCUAUAUGUACCCAACUUAUGGUUUGGGACAGAACUUACAGAUCUGCCACAACCAGAAGCAUGACUAAGAUCUGCAUAAUUGACUGGUUUUGCUCACCACCUACUCACUGUGCAGGGGCUCCAUGGUUCCUAGAGGCAAGGAAGAAGAGCCACCAGUCAAAUAGGUUUCAGCACCUCCAACUCCAACAUCUUCAAAGCAGCGACUGGGAAGAAAAAUAAUCCUUCUGACAACACAUAUUCAGACACAUAUGGUCAGCCUCAUGAAGCUCUGGAUACCCAUGCUCAUGACAUUCUUCUGUACGGUGCUACUGUCUGUGCUGGGAGAAAUGAGGAAGAAAAGAUAUGACAGGAAGGAAUUGUUACUUGAAGAAUGCUGGGGAAAGCCAAAUGUCAAAGAAUGUACCAAUAAGUGUUCUAAAGCCUUUAGAUGUAAAGACAAAAAUUACACAUGCUGCUGGACCUAUUGUGGAAACAUCUGCUGGAUAAACGUCGUGAGUUGGGAGAUGUUUGCUUGGGUGUAUAUCUUCACUGAUUCUCAUUCCCUUCUCGGAGGCUGUUAUUCCUAAACAGAAGACUGAGGUACCCCAAAUUCUAGGAAACCAGUGGAGAUUACUAAAACCGUAGCUUCCCACCAGGCUGCCACCUGUGUGGGCUGGGAAAUGUUUAAGAGGUCUCAUAGUAGUACCCUGUGGCUACUUUUAGGAACACCAGUCUAUUUUUACUGAGAGCUGGACAACAGCAAACACUUGACAAAUAAACUUAUUUACC